rnacentral:rRNA from 1 species
ACAAGGAUUCCCCUAGUAACGGCGAGUGAACCGGGAAAAGCUCAAAUUUGAAAUCUGGCUGUCUUCGAUAGUCCGAGUUGUAAUCUAUAGAAGCGUUUUCCGUGCUGAACUGUGUCUAAGUCCCUUGGAACAGGGUAUCAAAGAGGGUGAUAAUCCCGUACUUGACACAACCAUCAGUGCUCUGUGAUACGUUCUCUACGAGUCGAGUUGUUUGGGAAUGCAGCUCAAAAUGGGUGGUAAAUUCCAUCUAAAGCUAAAUAUUGGCGAGAGACCGAUAGCGAACAAGUACCGUGAGGGAAAGAUGAAAAGCACUUUGGAAAGAGAGUUAAACAGUACGUGAAAUUGUUGAAAGGGAAACGAUUGAAGUCAGUCGUGUUCAUUGGAUUCAGCUAGUUCUUCUAGUCUACUUCCUUUGAACGGGUCAACAUCAGUUUUGUCCGGUGGAUAAAGGAUUUAGGAAUGUGACUCCCUCGGGAGUGUUAUAGCCUAGGUUCACAUACACUGGGUGAGACUGAGGACUGCAGCUCGCCUUUUGGCCGGGGUUCGCCCACGUUCGAGCUUAGGAUGUUGACAUAAUGGCUUUA